rnacentral:rRNA from 1 species
ACGCACGCUGGCGGCGUGCUUAACACAUGCAAGUCGAACGGAAAGGCCCUGCUUUUGUGGGGUGCUCGAGUGGCGAACGGGUGAGUAACACGUGAGUAACCUGCCCUUGACUUUGGGAUAACUUCAUGAAACUGGGGCUAAUACCGGAUAGGAGCUCCUGCUGCAUGGUGGGGGUUGGAAAGUUUCGGCGGUUGGGGAUGGACUCGCGGCUUAUCAGCUUGUUGGUGGGGUAGUGGCUUACCAAGGCUUUGACGGGUAGCCGGCCUGAGAGGGUGACCGGCCACAUUGGGACUGAGAUACGGCCCAGACUCCUACGGGAGGCAGCAGUGGGGAAUAUUGCAGAAUGGGCGGAAGCCUGAUGCAGCAACGCCGCGUGCGGGAUGACGGCCUUCGGGUUGUAAACCGCUUUCGCCUGUGACGAAGCGUGAGUGACGGUAAUGGGUAAAGAAGCACCGGCUAACUACGUG